GACGAACGCUGGCGGCGCGCUUAACACAUGCAAGUCGAGCGAGAACCAGGGCUUCGGCCCUGGGGACAGCGGCGAACGGGUGAGUAACACGUGGAUAACCUGCCCUCGGCACCGGGAUAGCCCGGGGAAACCCGGAUUAAUACCGGAUGGCCCUUCCGGCUCACGAGCCGGUCGGAAAAGGUAGCUUCGGCCUCCGGCCGAGGAUGGGUCCGCGGCGGAUUAGCUUGUUGGUGGGGUAACGGCCCACCAAGGCUCCGAUCCGUAGCUGGUCUGAGGGGACGAUCAGCCACACUGGGACUGAGACACGGCCCAGACUCCUACGGGAGGCAGCAGGGGGGAAUCUUGCGCAAUGGGCGAAAGCCUGACGCAGCGACGCCGCGUGAGGGAGGAAGGCCUUCGGGUUGUAAACCUCUUUCAGGAGGGACGAAGCUACUCGGGUGAAUAGCCCAGAGGGUGACGGUACCUCCAGAAGAAGCCCCGGCUAACUACGUGCCAGCAGCCGCCGUAAGAC
rnacentral:rRNA from 1 species